rnacentral:rRNA from 1 species
AGCAGCCGCGGUAAUUCCAGCUCCAAUAGCGUAUAUUAAAGUUGUUGCAGUUAAAAAGCUCGUAGUUGAAUUUCGGGAUUGACACAUCGGUCGUGCCUUAAGGGGUAUGAACUGGUGUAGUCAAUUUCUCACCUUCUGGAGAACCGCGAUGCCCUUAAUUGGGUGUCGCGGGGAACCAGGACCUUUACUUUGAAAAAAUUAGAGUGUUUAAAGCAGGCAUUUUGCUUGAAUACAUUAGCAUGGAAUAAUAAAAUAGGACGGCAUGAUUCUAUUUUGUUGGUUUCUAGGAUCACCGUAAUGAUUAAUAGGGAUAGUUGGGGGCAUUAGUAUUCAAUUGUCAGAGGUGAAAUUCUUGGAUUUAUUGAAGACUAACUACUGCGAAAGCAUUUGCCAAGGAUGUUUUCAUUAAUCAAGAACGAAAGUUAGGGGAUCGAAGACGAUCAGAUACCGUCGUAGUCUUAACCAUAAACUAUGCCGACUAGGAAUCAGACGAUGUUAAUUUUUUAAUAGACUCGUUUUG